UACGGAGGAUCCGAGCGUUAUCCGGAUUUAUUGGGUUUAAAGGGUGCGCAGGCGGGAGAUUAAGUCGGCGGUGAAAUUUUGCAGCUCAACUGUAAAAGUGCCUUCGAAACUGGUUUCCUUGAGUGUAGAUGAAGUAGGCGGAAUUUGUGGUGUAGCGGUGAAAUGCAUAGAUAUCACGAGGAACUCCGAUUGCGAAGGCAGCUUACUAAGCUACUACUGACGCUCAGGCACGAAGGCGUGGGGAUCAAACAGGAUUAGAUACCCGGGUAGU
rnacentral:rRNA from 1 species